rnacentral:rRNA from 1 species
UACGUGGGGUGCAAACGUUGCUCGGAAUUACUGGGCGUAAAGGGCUCGUAGGCGGCCAACUAAGUCAGACGUGAAAUCCCUCGGCUUAACCGGGGAACUGCAUCUGAUACUGGAUGGCUUGAGUUCGGGAGAGGGAUGCGGAAUUCCAGGUGUAGAGGUGAAAUUCGUAGAUAUUAGGAAGAACACCGGUGGCGAAGGCGGCCCACUGGUCCGGUACUGACGCUGAGGUGCGAAAGCGUGGGGAGCAAACAGG